GCGCCUGUAGUUCAAUGGUAGAACUGUAGCCUUCCAAGCUACUAGCGUCAGUUCGAUUCUGACCAGGCGCU
rnacentral:tRNA from 1 species